rnacentral:misc_RNA from 1 species
GAACGCACCUUGCGCCCUUUGGCUAUUCCGAAGGGCAUGCCUGUUUGAGUAUCAUGAACACCUCAACUCUCAUGGUUUGCCAUGAUGAGCUUGGACUUUGGGGGUUCUGCUGGCCCAUGGUCGGCUCCCCUUAAAUGGAUCAGCUUGCCAGUGUUUUGGUGGGAUCCCAGGUGUGAUAACUAUCUACGCUUGUGGCUUUCCGUCAAGCAACCUUCAGCAAUGAGGGUUCGCUGGGGCUCAUAAACGUCUCUCUUGUGGAGACAGGUUUUUGAAGUUUGAUCUCAAAUCAGGUAGGACUACCCGCUGAACUUAAG